ACAGGGAUUGCCCUAGUAACGGCGAGUGAAGCGGCAACAGCUCAAAUUUGAAAUCUGGCUCUUUCAGAGUCCGAGUUGUAAUUUGCAGAGGGCGCUUUGGCUUUGGCAGCGGUCCAAGUUCCUUGGAACAGGACGUCACAGAGGGUGAGAAUCCCGUACGUGGUCGCUAGCUAUUGCCGUGUAAAGCCCCUUCGACGAGUCGAGUUGUUUGGGAAUGCAGCUCUAAAUGGGAGGUAAAUUUCUUCUAAAGCUAAAUAUUGGCCAGAGACCGAUAGCGCACAAGUAGAGUGAUCGAAAGAUGAAAAGCACUUUGGAAAGAGAGUCAAACAGCACGUGAAAUUGUUGAAAGGGAAGCGCUUGCAGCCAGACUUGCUUGCAGUUGCUCAUCCGGGCUUUUGCCCGGUGCACUCUUCUGUAGGCAGGCCAGCAUCAGUUUGGGCGGUGGGAUAAAGGUCUCUGUCACGUACCUCUCUUCGGGGAGGCCUUAUAGGGGAGACGACAUACCACCAGCCUAGACUGAGGUCCGCGCAUCUGCUAGGAUGCUGGCGUAAUGGCUGUAAGCGGCCCGUCUUGAAACACGGACCAAGGAGUCUAACAUCUAUGCGAGUGUUUGGGUGUCAAGCCCGAGCGCGUAAUGAAAGUGAACGGAGGUGGGAACCCGCAAGGGUGCACCAUCGACCGAUCCUGAAGUUUACGGAAGGAUUUGAGUAAGAGCAUGGCUGUUGGGACCCGAAAGAUGGUGAACUAUGCUUGAAUAGGGUGAAGCCAGAGGAAACUCUGGUGGAGGCUCGCAGCGGUUCUGACGUGCAAAUCGAUCGUCAAAUUUGGGCAUAGGGGCGAAAGACUAAUCGAAC
rnacentral:rRNA from 1 species